AGAAUGAACGCUGGCGGCAGGCCUAAAACAUGCAAGUCGAACGCUGUAGCAAUACAGAGUGGCGCACGGGUGAGUAACAUGUGGGAAUAUGCCUUUUGGUACGGAACAACGUUUGGAAACGAACGCUAAUACCGUAUGGUCCCUUCGGGGUAAAGAUUUAUCGCCAAAAAGAUUAGCCCGCACUAGAUUAGCUAGUUGGUAAGGUAAUGGCUUACCAAGGCGACGAUCUAUAGCUGGUCUGAGAGGACGAUCAGCCACACUGGGACUGAGACACGGCCCAGACUCCUACGGGAGGCAGCAGUUAGGAAUAUGGACAAUGGGCGCAAGCCUGAUCCAGCCAUGCCGCGUGAGUGAUGAAGGCCUUCGGGUUGUAAAGCUCUUUAGCCGAUGAAUAUAAUGACUGUAGUACGGAAAAUACGCCCGGCUAACUUCGCGCCAGCAGCCGC
rnacentral:rRNA from 1 species